UCAAACUUGGUCAUUUAGAGGAAGUAAAAGUCGUAACAAGGUUUCCGUAGGUGAACCUGCGGAAGGAUCAUUACCGAGUGCGGGUCCCCCGUGGCCCAACCUCCCACCCGUGUUGUCCGACAUCUGUUGCUUCGGCGGGCCCGCCUGGGCUUCUGCCCCGGCCGCCGGGGGGCCUCGUCGCCCCCGGGCCCGCGCCCGCCGAAGACCCCUCGAACGCUGCCUGGAAGGUUGCCGUCUGAGUAUCAAAUCAAUCGUUAAAACUUUCAACAACGGAUCUCUUGGUUCCGGCAUCGAUGAAGAACGCAGC
rnacentral:misc_RNA from 1 species